AACAGCUCAAAUUUGAAAGCUAGCCUUCGGGUUCGCAUUGUAAUUUGUAGAGGAUGAUUUGGGGAAGCCGCCUGUCUAAGUUCCUUGGAACAGGACGUCAUAGAGGGUGAGAAUCCCGUAUGGGAUGGGGUGUCCGCGCCCGUGUGAAGCUCCUUCGACGAGUCGAGUUGUUUGGGAAUGCAGCUCUAAAUGGGAGGUAAAUUUCUUCUAAAGCUAAAUAUUGGCGAGAGACCGAUAGCGCACAAGUAGAGUGAUCGAAAGAUGAAAAGCACUUUGGAAAGAGAGUUAAAAAGCACGUGAAAUUGUUGAAAGGGAAGCGCUUGCGACCAGACUCG
rnacentral:rRNA from 13 species